GGGCAGGAUCGGGGGCCGGGGGAAAUGAAGGUUUGGCAUAGCUAAGGUUUGACUGAGUACUGUUCUCGCAAGUGAACCUAGCGGGAAAGCUGAAGAAGGUAGACAACCAUGAGCUGAUGGAGUGUUCUGACAGAAAGAAGAUGGCUAAGAAGAUGUGAGUUACUCUUCCGUGCUUGAUAUAUCCCACCAUUGAAACUUGGUUCGCAAAAAGUCCUCUUUAAAUGUGCCUUCCAGAACUGAAUAUGGCACAUUAGAUCUGACACUCCUGAAGCAGAUGGUAAAGUGGAGUUACUGCCAUUCUUGAUAAGAUGCCAACACUGGACUGCAACUCCACUUUGGGCUCACAGUCAAGCAGAACUCAAGUCCAACCAAUGAACCAGUGCCUACUAGCACUCACCAAGGCUCCACAGCAUACAUUCACAAAUCCUCCCCCACCAUCAAAUUUGGUACCAGGCCGCUUUUCCAACCCUUCCUACUAUGCCUUUGAACAUGCUCUCUAUUC